rnacentral:rRNA from 1 species
UUGGUAAGGUAACGGCUUACCAAGGCAACGAUGCAUAGCCGACCUGAGAGGGUGAUCGGCCACACUGGAACUGAGACACGGUCCAGACUCCUACGGGAGGCAGCAGUAGGGAAUCUUCCGCAAUGGGCGAAAGCCUGACGGAGCAACGCCGCGUGAGUGAUGAAGGUCUUCGGAUCGUAAAACUCUGUUAUUAGGGAAGAACAUAUGUGUAAGUAACUGUGCACAUCUUGACGGUACCUAAUCAGAAAGCCACGGCUAACUACGUGCCAGCAGCCGCGGUAAUACGUAGGUGGCAAGCGUUAUCCGGAAUUAUUGGGCGUAAAGCGCGCGUAGGCGGUUUUUUAAGUCUGAUGUGAAAGCCCACGGCUCAACCGUGGAGGGUCAUUGGAAACUGGAAAACUUGAGUGCAGAAGAGGAAAGUGGAAUUCCAUGUGUAGCGGUGAAAUGCGCAGAGAUAUGGAGGAACACCAGUGGCGAAGGCGACUUUCUGGUC